rnacentral:rRNA from 1 species
GACGAACGCUGGCGGCGUGCUUAACACAUGCAAGUCGAACGGAAAUGCCCUGCUUUUGUGGGGUGCUCGAGUGGCGAAAGGGUGGGUAACAUGUCAGUAACCUGCCCUUGACUUUGGGAUAACUUCAGGAAACUGGGGCUAAUACCGGAUAGGAGCUCCUGCUGCAUGGUGGGGGGUGGAAAGUUUCGGCGGUUGGGGAUGGACUCGCGGCGUAUCAGCUUGUUGGUGGGGUAGUGGCUUACCAAGGCUUUGACGGGUAGCCGGCCUGGGAGGGUGACCGGCCAAAUUGGGACGGAGCUACGGCCCAGCCUCCUACGGGAGGCAGCAGUGGGGAAUGUUGCACAAUGGGCUGAAGGCUAAUGCAGCAACGCCGCGUGCGGGAUGACGGCCUUCGGGUUGUAAUCCGCUUCCGCCUGUGACGAAACGUGAGUGACGGUAAUGGGUAAAGAAGCACCGGCUAACUACGUG